GUGGAUAGAGUAUUGGCCUCCGAAGCCAAGGGUCGUGGGUUCGAUCCCCGCCAGCCGCA
rnacentral:tRNA from 1 species